AGCAGCCGCGGUAAUUCCAGCUCCAAUAGCGUAUAUUAAAGUUGUUGCAGUUAAAAGCUCGUAGUUGAAUUUCAGGCCUGGCUGGACGGUCCGCCUUUUGGGUGAGUACUGUCUGUGGUCGGGUCCUACCUUCUGGCGAAGCAUCAUGGCCUUAACCGGCCGUGGUGGGGAACCAGGACUUUUACUGUGAAAAAUUAGAGUGUUCAAAGCAGGCAGUCGCUUGGAUACAUUAGCAUGGAAUAAUGGAAUAGGACAAUGGUUCUAUUUGUUGGUUUCUAGGACCGUUGUAAUGAUUAAUAGGGAUAGUUGGGGGCAUUAGUAUUCAAUUGUCAGAGGUGAAAUUCUUGGAUUUAUUGAAGACUAACUACUGCGAAAGCAUUUGCCAAGGAUGUUUUCAUUAAUCAAGAACGAAAGUUAGGGAUCGAAGACGAUCAGAUACCGUGUAGUCUU
rnacentral:rRNA from 1 species